rnacentral:rRNA from 2 species
AAAACAUCUUUUCUUGAAAAUUUAUUUGAGAUCUGACCUGCCCAAUGAUUUUAUUUAAUGGCCGCGGUAUUUUGACCGUGCAAAGGUAGCAUAAUCAUUAGUUUAUUAAUUGUGGACUUGUAUGAAUGGUUAGACGAAAUAUUAACUGUCUCUUAUUUAUUAGUUGAAUUUAAUUUUUUAGUUAAAAAGCUUAAAUUUUAUUGUAAGACAAGAAGACCCUAUAGAUCUUUAUUUUUUAUAAAAAUUAAUUUAUUAGCUUAUUUUUAAUAAAUUUUUAUUAAAUUUUUUGUUGGGGUGACAUGGAGAUAUAUUUAACUCUUUAUUUUAUAUACAAUUAUAUUUGAUUAAUUUGACCUUUUAUUAUUGUUUUAAGAUAUAGAUACCUUAGGGAUAACAGCGUAAUUUUUUUUUAAAGUUCUUAUUGACAAAGAAGAUUGCGACCUCGAUGUUGGAUUAAGAUUAUUUUAAGGUGUAGGUGCUUUAUAAAUUAGGUCUGUUCGACCUUUAAAUUCUUACA